rnacentral:rRNA from 1 species
GACGGACGCUGGCGGCGUGCUUAACACAUGCAAGUCGAACGGUAAGGCCCUUCGGGGUACACGAGUGGCGAACGGGUGAGUAACACGUGGGUGAUCUGCCCUGCACUUCGGGAUAAGCCUGGGAAACUGGGUCUAAUACCGGAUAGGACCACUGCCUGCAUGGGUGGUGGUGGAAAGCUUUCGCGGUGUGGGAUGGGCCCGCGGCCUAUCAGCUUGUUGGUGGGGUGAUGGCCUACCAAGGCGACGACGGGUAGCCGGCCUGAGAGGGUGACCGGCCACACUGGGACUGAGAUACGGCCCAGACUCCUACGGGAGGCAGCAGUGGGGAAUAUUGCACAAUGGGCGCAAGCCUGAUGCAGCGACGCCGCGUGAGGGAUGACGGCCUUCGGGUUGUAAACCUCUUUCAGCACCGACGAAGCGCAAGUGACGGUAGGUGCAGAAGAAGGACCGGCCAACUACGUGCCAGCCGCCGCGGUAA